rnacentral:lncRNA from 14 species
CCCCGCACCAGCGCCGGUCCUGCUGCUGUGGCACAGGCUUCUGCGAGAAUGGGAGCAAGAACACGGCUCUCACCUGGUUCCUGGUGCUGUGGCCGUGCCUCAGGUGAGGAUGGAGCAGGAACUCCGUUCUUACCCCGGUCCCGGUGCUCUGGCAUCCCAUGAGGACGGGAGCAGAAGCACGGCUCUCACCUCGUUCCCGGUGCUGUCCCAGUGCCUCGGAUGAGGAUGGCACCAAGAACACGGCUCUCACCUGGUGCUGUGGCAGUGCUCCCAGUGAGGAUGGCAGCAAGAACUCGGCUCUUACCCGGGUGCCGAUGCUGUGGCAGUGCCCCCAGUGAGGAUGGAGCAGCAGCUCGGCUCUAACCUGGUGCUGUAGCAGUGCCCCCCGUGCGGGUGGGAGCAGGAACUCGGUUCUUACCCCGCUCCCGAUGCUGUGGCAGUGCCUCAGGUGAGGAUCGAGCAGGAACACGACUCUCACCUGGUUCCCGAUGCUGUGGCAGUGUUCCCACCGAGGAUGGAGCAGGAACACGGCUCUCACCUGUUCCCGAUGCUGUGGCAGUGUUCCCACCGGAGGAGCAGGCCGGCUCUCACCUGGUUCCCGGUGCUGUGGCAGUGUCCCCAGUGCGGAUGGAGCAGGAACACGGCUCUCACCUGGUUCCCGAUGCUGUGGCAGUGCCUCAGGUGAGGAUGGAGCAGGAACACGGCUCUCACCUGGUUCCCGGUGCUGUGGCAGUGCCUCAGGUGAGGAUGGAGCAGGAACACGGCUCUCACCUGGUUCCCGGUGCUGUGGCAGUGCCUCAGGUGAGGAUGGAGCAGGAACACGGCUCUCACCUGGUUCCCGGUGCUGUGGCAGUGUCCCCAGUGCGGAUGGAGCAGGAACACAGUUCUCACCUGGCUCUCAUUCAUUCAGCAGCCGCGGCCAGCGGGCAUCCCAUGGCGGGGAAGAGGAUGCGCUCCGGGCUGCGGGGACGCUCCGGGGGGAUGAGAGGCGGCCCAGGCAGCACAGCCCCCCGUACCGGAGCUCAUCUCAGCGCCAAGGACACGCAGAGCGCCCGCACGGCGGCUCGGAGCCUGGGAAAGCCUGUUAACCCUUGCCUGGCUGCGGCGCUGCGAGCGGCGCUCCCGCAUCUCCGGGGAUGCUCCCUCCGUGCCCGCCAAUCCCGGCGCUCGCAGCCGCGCGUCUCCCACAGCAGGAGCACACCCAGCAGGAAGCCCAUCACAGCAUCAAGCACAAAUAAUAAACACAGCACAGCUCCAUCCCUUGGUCUCUCACUGAGGAAAUUCCUGGCCUG